UACGGAGGGUGCAAGCGUUAUCCGGAUUCACUGGGUUUAAAGGGUGCGUAGGAGGGCAGGUAAGUCAGUGGUGAAAUCUCCAAGCUUAACUUGGAAACUGCCGUUGAUACUAUCUGUCUUGAAUAUUGUGGAGGUGAGCGGAAUAUGUCAUGUAGCGGUGAAAUGCUUAGAUAUGACAUAGAACACCAAUUGCGAAGGCAGCUCACUACUCAAUCAUUGACUCUAAGGCACGAAAGCGUGGGGAUCAAACAGG
rnacentral:rRNA from 1 species